AGCAGCCGCGGUAAUUCCAGCUCCAAUAGCGUAUAUUUAAGUUGUUGCAGUUAAAAAGCUCGUAGUUGAAUUUCGGGACCAUCAUGUCGGUCGUGCCUCGGUACGUACUGGCAUUGUUGGUUUCUCCCUUCUGACGAACCAUGAUGUCAUUUAUUUGGUGUUGUGGGGAAUCAGGACUGUUACUUUGAAAAAUUAGAGUGUUUAAAGCAGGCUCACGCUUGAAUACAUUAGCAUGGAAUAAUGAAAUAGGACGUUUGAUUCUAUUUUGUUGGUUUCUAGGAUCGACGUAAUGAUUAAUAGGGAUAGUUGGGGGCAUUAGUAUUCAAUUGUCAGAGGUGAAAUUCUUGGAUUUUAUUGAAGACUAACUACUGCGAAAGCAUUUGCCAAGGAUGUUUUCAUUAAUCAAGAACGAAAGUUAGGGGAUCGAAGACGAUCAGAUACCGUCGUAGUCUUAACCAUAAACUAAUGCCGACUAGGGAUCGGAUGAUGUUAAUUUUAAUGUACUCAUUCGGC
rnacentral:rRNA from 1 species